rnacentral:ncRNA from 2 species
AAUCUCAAUAAUGGGAGAAAGGGAGUACAGUUGAUAUUCUGUAACUGACAACAGUUCGCGGCAACGCAUACUAUUUUUCUCCGCCAAUCUUAUACCGUUGGUAGGGAUCUCUUUCCUACAUGACAGUACUAAUACCCAGGGAAACUGGUCAUCAGGCGAACUGCGGCGUUCUGCUGGCAAAACAUAGCUUCGGUUAUGUCAAUGGCUAUUGGAUUGGUCCAUGAAGCGAAAAAUAGUUUACUGUGUCACUCGUACCGAUAACCGCAUCAGGUCUUCUAGGUAAGUAGCCUAUGGCCAUUGAGGCAUGAUAGUUCAGGGAAUUCGGCCAAUUAGAGCUGUAACUUCGGGAUAAAGCUUGGCUCUGAUGAAAAUCAGAACCGAUUGUUACGCGGAGAGCCCAACUGUUUAAUAAAAACGUAGUGUCGCGCUGUGGUAGUAUAGCCAGUGAACGCGACAUGAAUCCUGCUCAGUGCUGUGUCUGUUAAUAUGGUUCAAGCCAACGAAGCACCGGUAAAUAGCUGGGGUAACUAUGACUCUUAUCAAAGUAGCGAAAUACCUCGUCACUUAAUUAGUGACCUGCAUGAACGGAGCUAUGAGGUUCUCACUGUCCCAAACUGUCUCUCAGCGAACCAACUGUAGUGGGAACGGUCACUAGAUAUCCAGCGGGGAAAGAAGACCCUGUAGAGCUUCACUUUGGUCUAGUCUUGUAUAGUUCCUGCGGGGGUGUAGACUAGGUGGGAGAGCAAUCGAUUCUGAAAAACCACUACCCUGUUUGGAAUUAUGCUUACCUAUCACAAGGAAUAGGACUAGAUAGAAAGUUUGGCUGGGGCGGCACACCUUCGAAAGAGCAGCGAAGGUGUCCUAAGUUGAGCUCAGUGAGGACAGAAAUCUCACGUUGAGGAUAAGGCCAAAAGCUCAAUUUACUGUGCCUUUUUGUACUAGGAUCAGUUACGAAAGUAAGGCCUAACGAUCCCUAAAUAGCCUCAGGUGCGUGAGAUUGGGGUGACAGACAAGUUACCUCCGGGACAACUGGCUUGGUGGCUGCUAAGAGAUCAAAUCAACGCAGCUUUUGAUUCUUCGAUGU